CGACCCGCCGGUGCGCCCCCGCUGCUGGCCGGGAGCAGCCGGCGCGACCCCCCCGGGGCGAAAGGGGGAGAAGGAGGAAAGUUGCCGGCUGUGGCCGCCCCGUCCCUGCCUUCCCAUGGGCGAGCCGUUGCCCCCCGCUUCCCUUCCCUCGCGGGGUCCCGGUGCCGCCUACCUGGGGGCUGCGCUCCGCCGGGUUCUUCAUCACCGCCUGGCGGAAGCUGUUAUCCACGAAGAAACCAUCUAGUACCUGGAAUAAAACAGCAUUAAAAUCUAAUUUUUCCUUGUCCCAGGAAAGCAUAUUCCAGAUAGACCGACACUGAGGAAACUUGGAGAGAUUCCUGUUUCCACCUCCAGCUAACUCUGUGAAAAUACAUAGUGAUAAAUCCAAGUAUGAAAUUCAUCUACAGCAAGAAAUCCUUGAUUAACAUGAAAACAGUGACAUGAAGGAACUGGCAAAAAUAAGCACCACUGCACAGCAGCAAGCUGUGAUAAAUCUUCCUACUUCUGUAACAACUGGUUUGUGCCCAGAACAUCCACCAGCAGUCUCUUAUACCAUUGCUGCAAGAAUAUGGGAACAUCCUUCUGGCUUCCAGAACAAGUUUACAGAAAAUAAAAAUAGAAAAUUGCCCCUCUCUUUGUUGCUACAGUUAGAGGAAGUUGUCAACGGGAGGUCUGCAGCCAAGCAAGUUUAUCUUGUAAGUGUGUUUGCUAAGUCAGGAAUAGAAACUGAAAUGUGGGAAGCAAUUGUACAGAAAGAGGUAGUAGGGAUGGAGAUUACCAUCUUGUGGGAAACCAAGUGACUCUUUGGAAGACAUUCAUUUCAAAAGACACGUGAACCCUUAAAGAUUUUGUCACAGGGAAG